GCCCACACGAACGACGAGCAGGGGCGCCGAAGGCCGCCGCCGCUUCUCAUAGGCGCCCAAAAGCCCCACAAAAAAGUCCCCGCUCGCGCCUGGCGGAAGGACACAGGCGGUCGCUCUCGUGACGGAUAACCUGUUAGUGGUGAGAAAACAAUGGAACAAUUUGAAGAUCGAGGGAGGUGCAGCAUUCACAGUGAAUCAUCAACGACACAGUCUGUAGGUCAUUUACUUGGGGUACAGAGCUAUGAACCUGGUUAACUUCCCAUGAAGCUGCUCAAGUGAGAAAACAUGUAGCAAAAGACUUUGGAGAUAUGCAGAUAUCUGCCUUAUCUUUUCAUAAAGGUUGUAGUGCCACGAUACAAGGCAAAAUCAGCAAGCCUUGGAGAGCUUGACUCAUGGGGCUGAAAGCUGAAACUUUCCACCGAGAAUAUCAACCUGAGAUACCACCACCUGCUAAGAGGACAGAGCGCUACCAACUGCUACCAUGCAGAGACCUUAACAAAACAACGCAAUGUGGAAACUUCCAGGCUGGAAUAUGGAGGUGUUUGGAGCGGGACUCAAGGGAGGGACAUUGGUGAUAACCCCCUGGUCAGUACAGGAAUGUGCCAGCACUCCUGAGAGAUGGCCAUUUGGCCUCUACUUGCACUAGGGUGCAGAACUUCUUUCAGCCUGAGGGUUGAAUUCAGUUUUGGAGAAGCUCUCAAGAGCCGAGGGCAAAAAGCGUGCAGCCAAGAAACUGAAAACACAGUACAUUGUAGCUUCAAGCUCUUACUUCCAAUAACUAAGCAUUAGAGUAAUUUUAACCUAAAAUGGGAAGAAGCUGCACAAAAGUCAGGAAAAAACCAAACAAUUGUUUGUGGGGAAUGGGGGUCAAGCUGGGGGAAAUGGUGUGGCCUGGGGGGCCCAGAGGGUUGGAUUUAGCCUGGGGGCCCCAGAGGGUUGGAUUUAGCCUGGGGGCCCUAGAGGGUUGGAUUUAGCCUGGGGGCCAAAGUUCUCCAGCCUUGCUAUAUGUACCCCUGUGGCGAUACCCUCCUUUCUAUCCCUUAGGUAUGUCUGGAUUUGUAUGUCUAACAAGUGCAGAAUAUUUGACUGAGUGGGUGUGGCUAGUGAUGCUGUGAGAAAGGGGGAGGGAGGAGUAUAAAUAGUUUGGCUGAGGGGAUUGUAGUUUGGUUUGGUCUGAGUGAUUAUUCUUGUGGAGUGUCUGAGGCUUGUGCUUCUUGAGAGUGUUUGGUGUGUGAGGAGUGAGAAGAGAUAGGACUGUAAGGGACUUGGGAUUGUUGUCUUAAAUAUAAAAAUAAGCAGGUUUGAUCUAAAUUGAAAUUCCAAAGAUCUGUUCAAUUUCAAUAAACUUUAGUUUGUGUUCUGUUACCACAAA